rnacentral:rRNA from 1 species
GGCGAACGCUGGCGGCGUGCUUAACACAUGCAAGUCGAGCGGUAAGGCCCUUUCGGGGUACGACGAGCGGCGAACGGGUGAGUAACACGUGGGUGACCUGCCCUCAGCUCUGGGAUAAGCCUGGGAAACUGGGUCUAAUACUGGAUAUGACUCCACGGUGCAUGUCGUGGGGUGGAAAGCCUUGUGCGGCUGAGGAUGGGCCCGCGGCCUAUCAGCUUGUUGGUGGGGUGAUGGCCUACCAAGGCGACGACGGGUAGCCGGCCUGAGAGGGCGACCGGCCACACUGGGACUGAGACACGGCCCAGACUCCUACGGGAGGCAGCAGUGGGGAAUCUUGCGCAAUGGGCGAAAGCCUGACGCAGCGACGCCGCGUGAGGGAUGACGGCCU